CCUGUUUGAAAACUUCACUCAUCCUUGGCUGGAGCAUGUUGUGACAGCAUGAGGCAGAACAACAUCAAAUUAAGAACUCUACGUUGAACUACACUUGGAAAUUCUCUACCUGCACAAGUCCGGAUAUGCCCAAAGGAUAGGCACUGUGCAUCCUGAUAGACUACUAAAAUACAGGCUUUAGAAGAGUAAAAGGAAAAAAAAAGAGAUGACUUCACACAGAAACAGGAAAUGCCCUGGGUCAUUUUCUAUUGUCGAAGAACCAUUACUUUCAAGUGCUUUAGAGAUAAGUCACUGGUUGAGAAAUUUGUUUUCUAAAUGUGCCUUCUUUGCUUUCUAUCAUGUUGUAGGAUAACUGUGUCACUUAAUACUACACGUUUUACUUUUAUAUCUAAACUAAGAGGCUAGUAAAGAAAGCAAGGUUCCUCCUGGGCAAUUCAGGUUGUGGUCACGUUGUUUAGCUGUACCAAGCAGAAUAACAGCACUUCCAGAACAAGAAUUUAACCUAUGCCUGAAACAAUUCUGAGCACUUUUCUCCUCUCUUUCCAGGAAGCCCAAAUCCAACAUGUGAAGGUCAGUGGCGUGACUAUUCCACUCCAUCCACAUCUUCACAUGGGGUCAAGGAGAAGCCCAGAGUGCCCAACGCCAUGAUGACAUUCAGAGGAACAGUACGUAACGCCAGAGAACAGCACUAGCUUCUGAGGUCAAGACAGACAGGGGUGCUGCCAAGAAUAAAUGCAGCUAUGUCCUGGGUAUAAGAGCCAGACCGAUGAGUAAUACUACACUGAAAUACUGUAGUGGCUGCACUGUAACAUAUCCUGCUCCUUGGAUUUAGCCCGUCUUACAUAAGCAGUAAUCUUCUGGCCCCGGAACCUCAUCUUUUUGAGACACCUCAUAUUUUUGAGAUACUGCAGCAUCCAGUCUUGCAGCUUCUGCAUGAAACUAAUAAAUACGCAUAUAUCUUAAGAAAUAUCUUGGCAUUCAGCCAGUUUUACUACUUCUGCAUUGCACUGUUCUGGGUUUGUAUUGACCUCGUGCUCUAAUGUACUUCUUACUAAGUUUCUAGUAAAAUGACAGAACAACGGGUGAAA